rnacentral:tRNA from 1 species
GCAUCGGUGGUUCAGUGGUAGAACGCUCGCCUGCCACCGCGGGCGGCCCGGGUUCGAUUCCCGGCCGAUGCA